rnacentral:rRNA from 1 species
AAUACAUCGGAACGUGCCCAAUCGUGGGGGAUAACGCAGCGAAAGCUGUGCUAAUACCGCAUACGAUCUACGGAUGAAAGCAGGGGAUCGCAAGACCUUGCGCGAAUGGAGCGGCCGAUGGCAGAUUAGGUAGUUGGUGAGGUAAAGGCUCACCAAGCCUUCGAUCUGUAGCUGGUCUGAGAGGACGACCAGCCACACUGGGACUGAGACACGGCCCAGACUCCUACGGGAGGCAGCAGUGGGGAAUUUUGGACAAUGGGCGAAAGCCUGAUCCAGCCAUGCCGCGUGCAGGAUGAAGGCCUUCGGGUUGUAAACUGCUUUUGUACGGAACGAAACGGUCUUUUCUAAUAAAGAAGGCUAAUGACGGUACCGUAAGAAUAAGCACCGGCUAACUACGUGCCAGCAGCCGCGGUAAUACGUAGGGUGCAAGCGUUAAUCGGAAUUACUGGGCGUAAAGCGUGCGCAGGCGGUUAUGUAAGACAGUUGUGAAAUCCCCGGGCUCAACCUGGGAACUGCAUCUGUGACUGCAUAGCUAGAGUGCGGUAGAGGGGGAUGGAAUUCCGCGUGUAGCAGUGAAAUGCGUAGAUAUGCGGAGG